AUUAAUUAUUAAUAACCCUUAAGCUGGAUAGCUCUACCCUGUUCUAGACUGUUUUCCCUAGAGGUCCAGUUCAGAAUAAUUACUGGACCUCUAGGGAAAACAAUUUAGAACAGGGUAGAGCUAUCCAGCUUAAGGGUUAUUAGUAAUUAAU